rnacentral:rRNA from 1 species
AACAGGGAUUGCCCUAGUAACGGCGAGUGAAGCGGCAACAGCUCAAAUUUGAAAUCUGGCGCAAGCCCGAGUUGUAAUUUGUAGAGGAUGCUUCUGGGUAGCGACCGGUCUAAGUUCCUUGGAACAGGACGUCAUAGAGGGUGAGAAUCCCGUAUGUGACCGGCCCGCACCCUUUACGUAGCUCCUUCGACGAGUCGAGUUGUUUGGGAAUGCAGCUCUAAAUGGGAGGUAAAUUUCUUCUAAAGCUAAAUACCGGCCAGAGACCGAUAGCGCACAAGUAGAGUGAUCGAAAGAUGAAAAGUACUUUGGAAAGAGAGUUAAAAAGCACGUGAAAUUGUUGAAAGGGAAGCGCCUGCAAUCAGACUUCGCGGCAGUGUUCCGCCGGUCUUCUGACCGGUUUAUUCUCUGUCGCGAGGCCAUCAUCGUCUCGGCCCGCUGGAUAAGACCUUGGGAAUGUAGCUCACCUUCGGGGGAGUGUUAUAGCUCAUGGUGAUGCAGCGAGGCUGGGGCGAGGUCCGCGCUUCGGCAAGGAUGAUGGCGUAAUGGUUGUCGGCGGCCCGUCUUGAAACACGGACCAAGGAGUCUAACAUCUAUGCGAGUGUUCGGGUGUCAAACCCCUACGCGUAAUGAAAGUGAACGGAGGUGGGAACCGCAAGGUGCACCAUCGACCGAUCCUGAUGUCCUCGGAUGGAUUUGAGUAAGAGCAUAGCUGUUGGGACCCGAAAGAUGGUGAACUAUGCCUGAAUAGGGUGAAGCCAGAGGAAACUCUGGUGGAGGCUCGCAGCGGUUCUGACGUGCAAAUCGAUCGUCAAAUUUGGGUAUAGGGGCGAAAGACUAAU